CGGCGAGGAGGGCCACAUCUCCAGGGACUGCCCCCAGGGCGGCGGCGGUGGCGGCGGAUACGGCGGUGGUGGCUAUGGAGGAGGCGGCGGCGGCGGCCGCGAGUGCUACAAGUGCGGCGAGGAGGGCCACAUCUCCAGGGACUGCCCCCAGGGCGGUGGUGGUGGCGGCGGCGGCGGCGGCUACGGAGGCGGUGGUGGCCGUGGCGGCGGCGGCGGCGGUGGCGGCUGCUUCUCCUGCGGCGAGUCCGGCCACUUCUCCCGCGAGUGCCCCAACAAGGCCCACUAGGCGGCACAGCUCUUCAGAUCUGAGUGCCCCGUUUACCCUCGCUCCUUUACCUACCUCCUGAUUCUGCAGCAAGUCAUACCCUAUACCUAUCAGUACUAGUAUUAGUCGCCGUAGCGUUUCCCCCUGCUGCUCGAUCCGAGCUUGGUUCCAGAAGAAUUGCUGGUGGUGUGUUCGUCGUUAAGAUCCAAGUUAUUUUGUUGUCUCUCUGUGAUGAGGACACAGAUCUAUCUAUGUGUUGGAUGGACUAAGUUAUCGAAGUCAAGUUUGGUUUCUUGAGAUUGAUCUAUGAUCUUGCAUGCCUAGUGUUUAUCUUGCAUGUCUGCCAGGCUUGAAAGCGUUGAUUCUGAUAUUCUGUUCUAGGCUAGUGGUGGUGGAUUAUUUUGGAAUCCUGUUCUCCCAUUUAUGUGCGAUUCCAUUGGCGUUUUGAUAGUGGUAUGAUUCGCAAGUUUGAUGCUUCAUGUUCAACAGGUUCAUGGUUCCAAAUCUUCAACAGGUCAAUUCUUAUAUGUUCUUGUGCCACUGUCUGCUGUUAGUAGAUUCUUCACAUGCCACUAGCUUGCAAAAUG
rnacentral:lncRNA from 1 species